rnacentral:lncRNA from 1 species
GCACCCAGUCAUUCACUGAGUUUCUGCUGCUGUAAUUUUUUUGUUCAUUUGUUUCCUAGAUGUGUUUCCUGAUUCAUUGAAGAUUAAUACGUGUGAAAAUGAUUCAUCAAAUGCUGAACUGAAGAAUCCUGCUUUGUUGCUAGUUAAGGGUGCAAGGUGGAAGACCACUGAAAGCCUGCAGGAGUGUAAGGAUUGUAAGAGGAAGCUCCAUUCCGAUGUGCUGCUUUUUGUCAAUCACAUCGGACCACUGAUUUACAACUUGAAUUUCUCUAAGUAGACACAACCCCAAGAAGAUUGUCAUUGGAACCUGGGAACACAAGAAAGACAUGGCAUGAUUCCAUUUGAAGUAAACUUACCUGUUUACGAAGAGAAAACCAUAUUUUCUUCUUAUAUGUUUGUUAUCAUGGAUGCAGAGAAGAUGCAAAAAAGCUUCUAGCGGAUUUUGAAAAAUCCGCUUAAUGCUUAAAAUGGAAGAUGCAAAAGUAAUUUCAAUGCUAAAGCCGCACUUGUGAUCAAGAAUUAUUAAUAAUAUGAGUAUCUAUAUAAUCUUUAAAAUAAUUUCAUAUUCUGUGUGUAAUGUAUUACAGUGAUCGUAUUCUGAUUUUGGAUAAAAGUAUUUUAAAGCACCUGUCGUGAUUUCC